ensembl:piRNA 21ur-560 ncRNA
UGGUAUCCAUGUGUUAAAUCA